ACACACUCUCUCCUCCCGCGACCCGAAAAUGCUUGGCAAGAUUCUACUGUACUGAAAUACUGUGCACACCAUAUAAGGUAGCAGCAGCUUCACAUGUCACACAUAAUUUACAUGCAGUGGGGCAGGAGUUUUGCCUUUCAAAGCACACACACGUAGAAACACACAGACACAUGUUAAACCAUGCUUCCACCUUCAGGCUGACGCAGCAGAGGAGCACAGAAGGCGCUUACUUUGGAAAGUAAAGACUGCAGCACUCACAGGAGGAAAGAUCUAGAUAAACCAAUGAGACAAGGAGGAGGACAGGCCACGACAGCAGACCCCCAGGCACUGGCUGGACCAUUCUCGGGCAGGCAGAGCGGC